rnacentral:sRNA from 1 species
CGCCUGCAGGAUGUCCAUGUGUCUGCUGGGUGGGUCCGUGCCUUCGCCACUGGGGGCUGGUCUACAUUUGCGUUUCCGUACAUGGUUCCUUUUGUUUCUGGAGAGUAAAUUCCUGGAGCAAUUGCUAGGCCUGCCUGCUGUCACCUGGCUGACAGGGAGGCCCGUCGCCUUCUCUCAGCAGCCUAGGGCCCAGGCCCGGGCCACCAUGGCGCUGCCUCCGGGCCCAGCCGCCCUCCGGCACACACUGCUGCUCCUGCCAGCCCUUCUGAGCUCAGGUACACCCCUGUUCAGUCGUUGACCAAGUCCUUCUGGGUUCCAAAGCCCCCUCUCUCCCCUGUCUGCACUUCUGUUUGGGUACCCACUCCAGGCCCCAAGCCCUGGAGUCCCUGUCCCCUUCACCCACCUACCCUAGGUCCAACCAGCCAGUCCCUGGUGAGAGGACUCAGGCGCCCUUUCCUUUGGCCUGCUGCUUCUCUCACUGGGCCAAUUCCUGGUCACAGCACAGUACCAACUGUGCCUGAGCCCUUCCCAGAGGCCCCCUGCUGUGUUCCAGGUUGGGGGGAGUUGGAGCCACAAAUAGAUGGUCAGACCUGGGCUGAGCGGGCACUUCGGGAGAAUGAACGCCACGCCUUCACCUGCCGGGUGGCAGGGGGGCCUGGCACCCCCAGAUUGGCCUGGUAUCUGGAUGGACAGCUGCAGGAGGCCAGCACCUCAAGACUGCUGAGCGUGGGAGGGGAGGCCUUCUCUGGAGGCACCAGCACCUUCACUGUCACUGCCCAUCGGGCCCAGCAUGAGCUCAACUGCUCCCUGCAGGACCCCAGCAGUGGCCGAUCAGCCAACGCCUCUGUCAUCCUUAAUGUGCAAUUCAAGCCAGAGAUUGCCCAAGUCGGCGCCAAGUACCAGGAAGCUCAGGGCCCAGGCCUCCUGGUUGUCCUGUUUGCCCUGGUGCGUGCCAACCCGCCUGCCAAUGUCACCUGGAUCGACCAGGAUGGGCCAGUGACUGUCAACACCUCUGACUUCCUGGUGCUGGAUGCGCAGAACUACCCCUGGCUCACCAACCACACGGUGCAGCUGCAGCUCCGCAGCCUGGCACACAACCUCUCGGUGGUGGCCACCAAUGACGUGGGUGUCACCAGUGCGUCGCUUCCAGCCCCAGGGCUUCUGGCUACCCGGGUGGAAGUGCCACUGCUGGGCAUUGUUGUGGCUGCUGGGCUUGCCCUGGGCACCCUCGUGGGGUUCAGCACCUUGGUGGCCUG